UAUUUUAUCUCUGCGCUUCAUCCACCUUGUUCAGAAAAAAAAAACAGAGUUUGGAACCAAAGAGGUUGACAACAUGGAGGAGUGAUCGUAUUUGUAGAGUUCUACACCAUUCUUUAUGAUCGUACUGUCUUUCUUGAGGAGAUGGUUUCCAAUGCAGGCCCUAUGCAUAGUACACAGCUAGAAGUUAUGGAGUAUUGACUGUAUUUG
rnacentral:lncRNA from 1 species